UACGGAGGGGGCCAGCGUUGCUCGGAAUUAUUGGGCGUAAAGGGCGCGUAGGCGGCUUGGUAAGUUUGAUGUGAAAUCCCAUGGCUCAACCAUGGAACUGCAUCUCAUACUGCCGAGCUAGAGUCUGGGAGAGGGAAGCGGAAUUCCCGGUGUAGCGGUGAAAUGCGUAGAUAUUGGGAGGAACACCAGUGGCGAAGGCGGCUCACUGGACCGGAACUGACGCUGAGGCGCGAAAGCGUGGGGAGCAAACAGG
rnacentral:rRNA from 1 species